rnacentral:rRNA from 1 species
UACGUAGGGUGCAAGCGUUCAUCGGAAUUACUGGGCGUAAAGCGUGCGCAGGCGGUUUUGUAAGUCUGUCGUGAAAUCCCCGGGCUCAACCUGGGAAUUGCGAUGGAGACUGCAAGGCUAGAAUCUGGCAGAGGGGGGUAGAAUUCCACGUGUAGCAGUGAAAUGCGUAGAGAUGUGGAGGAACACCGAUGGCGAAGGCAGCCCCCUGGGUCAAGAUUGACGCUCAUGCACGAAAGCGUGGGGAGCAAACAGG